rnacentral:lncRNA from 1 species
AUGUGGGCAAAUUUGGAACACCUAGAAGAGGGUCCAUUACUGUUAAUUCUCCAAGGACUGUGUCGUCUUCCAUUUGAUAUUUUUCAAGCACUUGUAUUAAGGCCGGCGAAGUUCUGUUGGAGAGGUCCUCUGUCGGUCACAGGGCAACCUGAGGGCUUCUUCCCAAGCAUCAGCCGGUCCACUUUUGAANCAGCACACAACAGUUGGAAGCCCAGUGAACAAAGGCAGGAGAAGAAAUAGGAAAUGGGAAAGUCCUGAAGGCAUUUUGGGAGUUGUUGCUGUUUUACAUUGGCUGGUGAACCUAAGAGGAGCCCUGCUGGAUCAGGCCACGGCCCAUCUAGUCCAGCAUCCUGUCUCACACAGNNNCCCACCANUUGCUUCUGGGCAUCUCAAGCAGAAGAUGAAGGCAAAACCUUCACCUGCUCUCAACUCCCUGCAAAUGGNCUUUAUAGGCAUCCNGCCUGUCUCUCCAACCUGGAGGUGGUACCUGUGCAUCCAUUCUAGAAGUCACUGAUACACCUGUCUCCAGUGAAUUUGUCUAACCCUUUCUUAAAGCUAUCCAGGCUGACUGCUGGNAUUGUGACAUCAUUUUAUAUUGGGUUUCUUAUACAGGCAUCCCUUGGUUUUUGUGAGGUUUACGUUCCUCCAUAGAGGUGUAGAUAUCAAAACUCCCGAAAAUNGAGGGACACAUUGAAUGGGUAACUUCACCCUAUUGAGCCUUGUGGGCCUGAAUAACAGCUGUUUGGCAGGGUAAAUGCAGAAGUAUCUGGGUUUGCCGUCCUUUUUUCAAAUCGCCAAUUGUGAGGGAGGGUUGUAAACCCUUUUGCUUGAAUAAGCAAAACUGUGAGUUCACAUUCUUGUGAAAACCUGCGAAAUUUGAGCAGCAACUGUGUGUGUUUGGCUUUAUGAACAUCUGUCUGGGUUUUUUNCCCCUCCUCUUUCCUAGUCUGUUACCCAUCUUAAGACCAUUUGGCGAAGGGUGGGUUAUAAAUGCAGGAAAUAAAAUGCAUAAACAGACAGAUAAAUAGAUACUG